CCUACGGGUGGCUGCAGUAGGGAAUAUUGGACAAUGGGGGCAACCCUGAUCCAGCCAUGCCGCGUGAAUGAUGAAGGCCUUCGGGUUGUAAAGUUCUUUAGCAGGGGAAGAUAAUGACGGUACCCUGAGAAUAAGCCCCGGCUAACUCCGUGCCAGCAGCCGCGGUAAGACGGAGGGGGCGAGCGUUGUUCGGAAUCACUGGGCGUAAAGGGCGCGUAGGCGGCUUGGCAAGUCAGAUGUGAAAUCCCGGGGCUUAACCUCGGAACUGCAUUUGA
rnacentral:rRNA from 1 species